GUUCCGGUGGUCUAGUGGUUAGAGCGUCCGCCUCGGAUGUGAAAGAUGGCGGGUUCGAAGCCUACCCGAAUCA